UGACGCUGGCGGUACUUUUAACCUGCAGGUGCUAGCGGUAACAGACAUAAAGAUUCAGCUUGCUGAAUCCCGGUGCUGACGAGCGGCGAACGGGUGAGUAACGCGUAGGAAUCUACCCAGUAGCGGGGGAUAGCCCGAGGAAACUCGGAUUAAUACCGCAUACGCCCUGAGGGGGAAAGGGGGCAGUUUACUGCUCUCACUAUUGGAUGAGCCUGCGUAAGAUUAGCUUGUUGGUAGGGUAAUGGCCUACCAAGGCGACGAUCUUUAGCUGGUCUGAGAGGACGAUCAGCCACAUUGGGACUGAGACACGGCCCAGACAUCUACGGAUGGCAGCAGUUAAGAAUAUUGGACAAUGGGGGCAACCCUGAUCCAGGUAUACCGCGUGUGUGAAGAAGGCCCUAGGGUUGUAAAGCACUUUAACUCAGAGAAGAAGCAUUUUAAAUUAAUACCUUAAAAUGUUGACGUUACCUGAAGACUAAGGACCGGCUAACUCCGUGCCAGCAGCCGCGGUAAUACGGAGGGUCCAAGCGUUAAUCGGAAUUACUGGGCGUACAAGCGCGCGUAGGCGGUUUAGCAAGUUGUAUGUGAAAGCCCUGGGCUCAAACCUAGGAACUGCAUCCAAAAACUACUAAGCUAGAGUACGAGAGAC
rnacentral:rRNA from 1 species